GACGAACGCUGGCGGCGUGCUUAACACAUGCAAGUCGAACGGAAAGGCCCUGCUUGCAGGGUACUCGAGUGGCGAACGGGUGAGUAACACGUGGGUGAUUUGCCCUGCACUUCGGGUUAAGCCUGGGAAACUGGGUCUAUUACCCGUUAGUCGCCAUUUUUAGUGUGGUGGUUGGACAGUUUUUGCGCUGUAGGAUGAGCUGGUGGCCUAUAAGCUUGUUGGUGGGGUAAUGGCCUACCAAGGCGGCGAUCGGUAGCCGGCCUGAGAGGGUGGUCGGCCACACAGGGUCCGAGGUAAGGCCGAGGUUGCUAAGGGAGGCAGAAGGGGGGAAUACUGAACAAUGGGUGCAAGGCUGGUGCAGCAACGCCGCGGGGGGGAUGACGGCCUUAGGGUUGAAAAAGCGCUUUGCGAGGGACGAAGCUUGUUGUGACGGUACCUAGAUAAUAAGCACCGGCUAACUACGUG
rnacentral:rRNA from 1 species